AGUGAACGCUGGCGGCAGGCCUAACACAUGCAAGUCGAACGGCAGCACAGUAAGAGCUCGCUCUUAUGGGUGGCGAGUGGCGGACGGGUGAGGAAUACAUCGGAAUCUACUCUUUCGUGGGGGAUAACGUAGGGAAACUUACGCUAAUACCGCAUACGACCUACGGGUGAAAGCGGAGGACCUUCGGGCUUCGCGCGAUUGAAUGAGCCGAUGUCGGAUUAGCUAGUUGGCGGGGUAAAGGCCCACCAAGGCGACGAUCCGUAGCUGGUCUGAGAGGAUGAUCAGCCACACUGGAACUGAGACACGGUCCAGACUCCUACGGGAGGCAGCAGUGGGGAAUAUUGGACAAUGGGCGCAAGCCUGAUCCAGCCAUGCCGCGUGGGUGAAGAAGGCCUUCGGGUUGUAAAGCCCUUUUGUUGGGAAAGAAAAGCAGUCGGUUAAUACCCGAUUGUUCUGACGGUACCCAAAGAAUAAGCACCGGCUAACUUCGUGCCAGCCGCCGCGGUAAUAC
rnacentral:rRNA from 1 species